UUCUAUUUUCAUCCCAAAACACAUUUUAUUGGGAGUUGUUAGGUAGAUGGCCUCUCAUGCACAAACUCAUAAAGCAAGGUUUAUUUCAAUUUUCUCAGUUAAAGUCAGUGCACAGUCGUAUGGUAACUGUUGAGCCAUGGGCUGAACCACUGAGUGAGCACCUGGAGAAAAGACCUGUUCAGCCCUGGGAGCACAGGUGAAGGCAAUUCAUCUGUGUGACUAGAAGGGGUGGAGCCUUGUUCCACCUCUCUUAGGCCUCAUUUAAGGGGUGACUGCCCUUAGGUAAGAAUCUUUUUCUGGAGGCCUCCCUUUAGUGAAGCUUUUCUCCAUGAAUCUGGGCUUUUCUGAAAUGGUUUGCAGCAGUAGAGGACCAAUGGUGGAUCUCUGUAAGUAUGGAAAAUUGAAAAUCUUUCAGGGUGUGAAUAGUUAAAUUGGAGAUGUUCAAGCAACCUUGACUCCAAAACAAAGCUGUGGUAGAUAAGGCUGCUGCUGAGCUCCAGAAGUACAGAAAACCACAUCUGCAGAGGAUUCAUUUUCAGCCCUAAAAUCUGGAGAAAUGAAGUAAAGUUUACUACUGAACUAGAAUGAUAUUUUUUUUUUUACCUGCCUGAAGCAAAGAUGUAAGAUUUGGAUUUACUCUGAACCACUAAUUCUCCAUUUCUACCAGUGCUUCAAAGAGUUAUCAUUCAUUUUGUACCACUUUUUACAUCUCCAUUGCCCUUCUUUAAGUUUGCUCUUCUCUGUGUGUCUGACCUCUGGUAGGGAUGGGGACGUUAAAAGAUCCACUGAUCUGUUGAGAGUAAAGACUAGGACUUCAAAAAAGAUGAAUGUGUAUUUACACAUUGGGUUUACUUUUGUCACUGAAACUUGAAUAUGUUUUUAAAAAUGGGGCAGGGUUUGUUCGUAGUAUGGUAACUUUUCUUAUGUCUUUCGGUAUACAUUUGUGGUUGAACAAAGAUGAAGAUUCCUAUUUCACAGUAUUUCCAAUUUAAACUACAGUAUUAAUACAAACAUUAAAGGAGUGUUAUGAUUAUCUCCUUGCACGAGAGUAUGGCAAUGUAUUUGAAUAUAAAAUAGCAAAGGUUGUAAUAUCCCACUUUCUUCUGCUAAACCACUUCAUACAGUUGUGCAUUAACAGGAAAAUGUUUGAGAGAUGAGAUGAUUUAAGAUGAGGUUAAAUGAAUUAAAAUCUUACAGAUAUUGUGAAAAUUAUGGGCUUCAUAUGUCUUACAUAUUUUAGUAAUACCUCCAGAUCAGCGGACUUGCAUGUUCUUAUCUUUGUAUGUAAUUCUGUUGUGAUUGAAGUAAAAUAGUGUGUGAUACUCUAAGGAUCAUAGCCUCAACUAAUAAAUAUGGAAACAGUGUAAACUUUCUGUUAAAGGAAUUAGACAUGUAACAGCAAUUGCCCUGUCUCUUAGAAUUGCCCUGAAAUCCCAUCUGAGAUGCUCUCUGGGCAGAUGUCUUUGCUUGCAGUGUCUAAAGUAACACUAGAUAUCAAUAUUUAAGCACAGAAUUGUUUUCAUUGUUUAUUGCUUGGUUGCUUCUUGCGUCUUACAGGAGUAGAAAAAUCUCAGAUAUAAUUAGACAGCCGUGGAGGUUUGCCCUUGGAGUGCAGAUCUAAGUUGUGGAUUUUUUUUACAGCUGUUCCUGAAGCUUGCAAAAGGUUGUGUGGAAAGCAGCUGCUUAGAAGCCUUAUUUUAACAGGAACCUACACUAGGGAAUACUUCUGGUUUUCUCUACGUUUAUGCCCAUCCAUUGUCUUUGUGGAAAAAGAACUGUGCCCCAUUGUCUUUGAUCUGGAAUAUGCUGUGAGAAAUUUGCCACCAGUUUUUCUUGUAUGAAUUGUUCCAGGGACUGAACAUGCACAAAGAAACAAAAUACCUGUUAGUGAAAGUAUUCUUCCUCAUAGUUAGGGAAAAGUAUUUUAAGAGAAAAUCUUGAGGCAAACUUUACUGAUACAAGCAAUGUAUUCUCACAUAUCUUAGUAACUUCUGUAUUGAAUUACUACAUGCACAUUAAAUUCAUCUUUAUUCUUUGGAUUAAUAUAGCAGAGUAGCUCCAAUUUUGAACCUCCACACAAGCCUGAAAAAGUAUAUACGAAAGUAGUUGGGUCAUAUCUUAAUCCAAAUGAACUUUAUUUAGGUAAUCAUUUUAAAAGCUCUACGAGGUUGAUAUUAGCUGAUUGACUAGUUUCCUAAAUCUAAGCCAAAGUCUUCACAAGUGCUGCAAUAUCAUAACAGGACUAUAAUUAUCCAAUAGCUUUUCAUUGCUCUAAAUAUUUUAAAGGCAUUUAGGGUACUUAAAGACACUAUUAAAAAGUACUCCUUUUCACUUCUCCUGGAAGCCAGUCAGAAAUGUGUUUUCCUGCCUGUCUGAAGGUACUGAACCAGUUCGCUUUAUGAAAAAGCAGUUCGACAACUUUUGUCAUCAUUGUUUUGUAGAUGACAGUUUAGGACAGGACAUGGUUUGUAAUUAGCAUUAUCAGGAGUAUUCUUUAGACGUGUGCAUUUCAAUUUUGCAAUUCCUUUUACAGAUUCAGUCUCAGAAGUGUAAAUGAUUUGUUUCACUUCAGCUUGACAACAUCAGUAUAGUGAGUUUCUAGAUAGCUCUAUUUUAAUGCCCAACUAAAAUUUGGAUUCACAAAAGUGAAAAGGAGGCUUUGCUGGCUCUGAUAGAUGACUUUUAUUAGAAAUUUUGCAGGAGUUCUUAUAUUAAAAUAUACCAUAUUAGCUCCAGUAAAGGCUCCACUAGCUCUUUGUUCUUCGUGCCACAGAAGUGAAAUCUAUUUUGAGUGUCCUUCAAUAACUUUGUCUUUACACUUAGAUCUCUCACUGGAUGAAUACUUGUACAUAUUUUUGUGAAUCAUUAAAAUUUUCACUCUCCUUCAUCAACUGAGAGAAAGAAGGGAAAUAUAUGGAAAGUGGAAUCAGGGUUGUGUAUCCUGAGAGGAAUACACGACUGUUGUCUGUGUGUAAAGAGAUAAGAUUAGGAAAGCUAAGGUGCAGAUGGAGCUGAGCUAGGCAGCAGAUGUGAAAGAUAACAAGAAGGGGUUUUACAGAUACAUGGGCAGGAAGAGACUGGCCAAGGAGUGUGUUCUCCCUCUGAUGGUAGGUAAUAGGGAACUGGCUUCUUCAGACAUAGACAUAGAAAAAACUGAGGUACUCAAUGAGUGCUUUCCCUCAGUCUUCAUGGGUGGUCAGGCUUCCCAUGUCUGCCAGGACUGUGAGCCUCUAGGUGAGGGUAUGUGGAGUGGUUUCUGUCCCACUGUAAUGGUGGAACAAGUCUGAGUCCUUCUCAUGAAAUUGAAUGUGUAUCAGUCCAUGGGGCCAGAUGAUAUCUAUCCUAAGAUUCUGAAAGAGGUAGCUGAUGUGGUUGCCGAGCUGCUCUCCAUCAUGUUUGAAAAAUCAUGGCUGUUUGAAGUCCCAGGUGACUGGAAAAAGGGAAAUGUUACUCCCAUUUUUAAGAAAGGGAGAAAGGAAGACCUGGGGAACUACAAGCUACUGAUCCUCACCUCUGUGCCUGGGAAGAUCAUGGAGCAGAUCCUCCUAGAAGCUAUGUUAAGACACAUAUGAGAUAAAGAGAUGUUUUGAGAUAGCCAGUGUGGCUUCACCAAGAGCAGAUUGUGCCUGACCAAUCUGGUGGCCUUCUAUGAUGGAGUGACAACUAUGGUGACUGAGGGAAGAGUGGUGGAUGUCAUUUACUUGAACUUCUACAAGGCCUUUGACAUAGUUCCUCACCACAUCCUUCUCUCUAAAUUAGAGAGCUGUGGAUUUGAAGGACGGACUGUUUGAUGGGUUAGGAAUUGGCUGGCUGGAUGCAGCCAAAGGGUUGUGAUCAAUGUUUCUGUGUCAAAUCACAAGGAGGCCAGUCACAAGCAGUGUCCUUCAGGGGUUGGUCUUGGGACUAGUGCUUCAACAUCUUCAUAAUGACAUAGAUGAUGGCAUCGAGUGCACCCUCUGUAAGUUUGCAGAUGGCACCAAGCUGAAUGGUGCAGUUGAUACACUGGAGGGAAGGGAAGCCAUCCAGAGGGACCUGGACAGGCUGGAGAAGUGGGCCCGUGAGAACCUAAUGAGGUUCAGUAAGGCCAAGUGCAGGGUGCUGCACUUGAGUCGGGGCAAUCCUAGGUAUUUAUAUGAACGGGGGGAAGAUCUCCUUGAGGGCCCUGCGGAGAAGAACUUGGAGUUCCUAGUAGAUGAGAAGCUGGAUGUGAGCCAGCAGUUGUGUGCUUGCAGCUCUG